GACGAACGCUGGCGGCGUGCCUAAUACAUGCAAGUAGAACGCUAAAGCUUGGUGCUUGCACCGAGCGGAUGAGUUGCGAACGGGUGAGUAACGCGUAGGUAACCUGCCUGGUAGCGGGGGAUAACUAUUGGAAACGAUAGCUAAUACCGCAUAAAAUGGAUUAUCGCAUGAUAAUUCAUUGAAAGGUGCAAAUGCAUCACUACCAGAUGGACCUGCGUUGUAUUAGCUAGUUGGUGGGGUAACGGCUCACCAAGGCAACGAUACAUAGCCGACCUGAGAGGGUGAUCGGCCACACUGGGACUGAGACACGGCCCAGACUCCUACGGGAGGCAGCAGUAGGGAAUCUUCGGCAAUGGACGGAAGUCUGACCGAGCAACGCCGCGUGAGUGAAGAAGGUUUUCGGAUCGUAAAGCUCUGUUGUAAGAGAAGAACGAGUGUGAGAGUGGAAAGUUCACACUGUGACGGUAUCUUACCAGAAAGGGACGGCUAACUACGUGCCAGCAGCCGCGGUAAUACGUAGGUCCCGAGCGUUGUCCGGAUUUAUUGGGCGUAAAGCGAGCGCAGGCGGUUAGAUAAGUCUGAAGUUAAAGGCUGUGGCUUAACCAUAGUACGCUUUGGAAACUGUUUAACUUGAGUGCAAGAGGGGAGAGUGGAAUUCCAUGUGUAGCGGUGAAAUGCGUAGAUAUAUGGAGGAACACCGGUGGCGAAAGCGGCUCUCUGGCUUGUAACUGACGCUGAGGCUCGAAAGCGUGGGGAGCAAACAGG
rnacentral:rRNA from 1 species